AUGUUUGCGGCGACUGUUACAGUGCUAAGAAGUGUAGUAGUUGAUCGUUCAGCUACAAGGAACUCAAGAGGUGAUGCUGGAGGUGCCCUGAAAAUCCUACUCACAUUUGAUUUUGUGUUCAUUCUACACUUAAUGGAAAGAAUCAUGAAAAUCAUGGAUGUCUUGUGUCUCAAACUUCAACAUAAAUCCGUGGACAUUGCAAAUGCAUUAGAUUGUGUUUCUAACAUAAAGGUGUUGCUUGAUGAACUAAGAGAAGAUGGAUGGGACAGCCUUUUUGAAGAUGUGAAAUCCUUUUGUGUGAAACAUGAAAUUGACAUCUCGGACAUGGAUAAAAAGCUGCUGCAGAUGACUGGAAGUCCCAACGCGAGGCAUGACAACACCACAGUUAUCCAUCAUUAUAGAGUAGAUGUGUUUAAUGUUGCAAUCGAUCAACAAGUGAUAGAGUUGAAUGAUCGACUCAGUUCUCAAGUUACUGAGCUUCUAGAUCUUUGUUCAUCAUUCGACCCCGAGGCAUGA
rnacentral:rRNA from 1 species